CAGUUUUCUUUUGCCGAUUUUGAUGGCGAGGAAAUAGAACACAUUGUCAGAGCGGCCCUCCUUCCGGGCCUCGUUGAAGACCGAAUGCAACAUUAAUUUGACUCUCUGCUCUAGAAGUCCUUAUGGUCUCUUAGACCUAUCAUGCUAUAUUUUUUCACUCAUAGUGACUAUAUCAGAAUCUUAUCUGACUGCUCUCAUACAGUUUGCUGUUUUUUUUUUCAACAAUAUUUAUUUGAUCAGAGCUCACUUAACGAUGUUCACAAUUGUUAGCCCACUUCUAUGAUUAGGGCUACUAGGAAUUUAUAUCCGCCUGGCCUAUUACAAUAUACAAAACAUAAACGCACCUGCAGUCUUCAUUGUGUCGGAACAGGAACCCCUGUACCCUUCUCUUUCUGCUCCCUUUUCAUUUUGCUCCCUAAUCAUCCAGACAGACCAGCUUGUGCCGCGCAGCCAGCCAGCCACAAGCAAUAGGUAUUCUCUCCACAUGUCUGUGCAGGUUUAUUUUUUAUUUAAUUAUAUAAUUAUCGUUAUAUAACAGUUAAGAGUCAAGACAUCUGCACGUUUGACCGAAAACAGCUUGACAUUUUACGGAAACCUCCAAGCUCCUCCAUUGUCCUGCUUUCCAGACGCAUCCUAACAGUAAUACCACCACAUCCACUACCACCACCUCCACCACCACCGACACAUCACCACCACCACCACUGACACACCAACAUCACCCUUAUCAUGCUGGCAGUCUAGGCCUGUCUCCCAAGCUGUGUCCCACUCGAGACUGAGGCAGCUUCUCCCACGGAGCUCCACACCCCCAGGGGGACCACCACAGAGAUGGCUGAUUCCGACCCCUCGUCCCCCUCCGAUCCACCACAGCCUCUGAGCUCCCCCCGUACUCCCCUCUCACUGUCCUUCCCCUUCCUCAGGCAGGGAAGUCGAGUGUGGGAAAGGGAGAGGAAACCCCCCUUGAUGCCAGGCGAGCUACCCAGCCCCCUGCCCACCAAACGCACCCGCACAUACUCAGCGACGGUGCGGGCCAGAUCAGGCCCAGUGUAUAAGGGCGUGUGCAGGACCUUCUACAGAUGCCAGGGUCAUGGUUUUAUAAAGCCCUCCAACGGUGGAGAGGAUAUCUUUGUACACAUCUCUGAUAUCGAUGGAGAAUAUGUUCCGAUGGAAGGCGACGAGGUCACGUACAAAGUCUGUUCCAUCCCCCCCAAGAACCAGAAGAUGCAGGCGGUGGAGGUGAUCAUCACCCACCUGGCCCCAGGAACCAAGCAUGAGACCUGGUCUGGACAGAUCAUCAGCUCCUAGACCUCCACCUGCACCUUCAGAGAGUGGAGGGUGGGGUUGGGGAGGGAAGAGGGAGAAGUGGAGGGUGGGGUUGGGGAGGGAAGAGGGAGAAGUGGAGUCCAUGGUAGGGAGAGAAGGCAAGGAAGGAAGGAGCCUAGAGAGGUAAAGGGGAGGGAAGAGGGAGAAGUGGAGUCCAUGGUAGGGAGAGAAGGCAGGGAAGGAAGGAGCCUAGAGAGGUAAAGGGGAGAGAAGAGGGAGAAGUGGAGUCCAGGGUAGGGAGAGAAGGCAAGGAAGGAAGGAGCCUAGAGAGGUAAAGGGGAGGGAAGAGGGAGAAGUGGAGUCCAUGGUAGGGAGAGAAGGCAAGGAAGGAAGGAGCCUAGAGAGGUAAAUGGGAGGGAAGAGGGAGAAGUGGAGUCCAGGGUAGGGAGAGAAGGCAAGGAAGGAAGGAGCCUAGAGAGGUAAAGGGGAGGGAAGAGGGAGAAGUGGAGUCCAGGGUAGGGAGAGAAGGCAAGGAAGGAAGGAGCCUGGAGAGGUAAAGGGGAGGGAAGAGGGAGAAGUGGAGUCCAGGGUAGGGAGAGAAGGCAGGGAAGGAAGGAGCCUAGAGAGGUAAACGGGCAAGGGGAGCAGAGGAAGGAGUGAAUAAGUAAAGGGGUUGGAAUGUGGUAUAAGGCUUAAGAUGGUUUUACGUAGGUUUCAGUUGGAAUGUGAAUGAGGAAAAGUAAAAGAUUUAAUUUUAAGAAAAAAUAUCAAGGUUAACUUUGAUUUAAGAUUAAAGGUUGAUGGUUUAUUUAAGAUAAUUUAAAAUAGCAGGAGUCGAGUAAGUUUAAUAAAUCACUGUUGUAGGGAAAACGUGAAACAGAGCAUCAAACCUUCCUAAAUUGUAUUGUUUUUAUUCAUACUUUUGAUUGAUUGACUUAUUUAUUUUCCAUUUGUUAUGACAGGUGAGGUAGAUGUUGUUGAUCAGAUUAUUUAGAAAUGUGUGUUUUGUGCCAAUAUAUACCUGGUCUAACCCAUUACACAAUUCACUCUGAUGAUAUUGCCCUGGUAACACCUACUCCCUCAGUCUAAUGUUGACCAAUGACCAUUUAUCAUCUUUGUAACAGAGUUACUAAUGAUUACUAUAUGUGGUUCAAACCCCAUUUUUUUAUCAUUAAAACCAAUGCUAUCCAGAUUAA